rnacentral:rRNA from 1 species
AAUGAACGCUGGCGGCAUGCCUAACACAUGCAAGUCGAACAGUGGCGCACGGGUGCGUAACGCGUGGGAAUCUGCCCUCAGGUUCGGAAUAACAGCGAGAAAUUGCUGCUAAUACCGGAUGCCUGAGGAUGAGCCGGCGUAGGAUUAGCUAGUUGGUGUGGUAAAGGCGCACCAAGGCGACGAUCCUUCGCUGGUCUGAGAGGAUGAUCAGCCACACUGGGACUGAGACACGGCCCAGACUCCUACGGGAGGCAGCAGUGGGGAAUAUUGCACAAUGGGCGCAAGCCUGAUGCAGCCAUGCCGCGUGUAUGAAGAAGGCCUUCGGGUUGUAAAGUACUUUCAGCGGGGAGGCGUUACCCGCAUAAGAAGCACCGGCUAACUCCGUGCCAGCAGCCGCGGUAAUUC